rnacentral:rRNA from 1 species
UACGGGGGGUGCGAGCGUUGUCCGGAAUCACUGGGCGUAAAGGGCGCGUAGGCGGUUUGUCGCGUCUGCCGUGAAAGUCCGGGGCUCAACUCCGGAUCUGCGGUGGGUACGGGCAGACUAGAGUGAUGUAGGGGAGACUGGAAUUCCUGGUGUAGCGGUGAAAUGCGCAGAUAUCAGGAGGAACACCGAUGGCGAAGGCGGCCUGCUGGGCAGUUGCUGACACUGAGGCGCGACAGCGUGGGGAGCAAACAGG